rnacentral:rRNA from 1 species
UACGUAGGAGGCGAGCGUUGUCCGGAUUUACUGGGCGUAAAGGGCGCGCAGGCGGCCCACCCAAGUACGAUGUGAAAUCUCCCUGCUCAACGGGGGAGGGUGCAUAGUAAACUGGUGAGCUAGAGGACGGUAGAGGGGGGUGGAAUUGCUGGUGUAGCGGUGAAAUGCGUAGAGAUCAGCAGGAACACCCGUGGCGAAGGCGGCCCCCUGGGCCGUACCUGACGC